UCGCGGCCGGGCGGGGGACGCUUCCACUCCCCCAGGCCACUCCUCUGGGCACCUCGCGCCCGCCCGGCUCGGGGCGCACACAGACCCCCCCCUUUGCCCAUCCGCUUUCUUAGGCCCCUUCCACUCCCCUUUAUCGUCUAAGAGGGACCACACCGAUGACCCAAAGGAGUUUGUUCGGCCAGGAUCUGUCCGGCAGGUGUGCCGGGGCGUCCCACCCCGAGAAGCGAAGGGCAUCCUCACGCUGCGUCCGGGCCGCUGUCCCUCACCUCGGCCCACCCUUCCGCGCUCCGGGUGCGCGCGUGAGGCGGCUCGGAGACCUGCGCCCGGCGCCCAGAGGAUGUCGCGGGUCUCUGUCCUGUUAAGUUGAGCUGCAGAACUUCCCUGUCAAUUCUCCUAGUCUUGCUGUAACAGCCCUGAUCCCCUUGUAUGAAGGUGAAUGUCUCCAGAAAAUACAGUGGCCAUAUACACAGGAAGUAGAUGAAAGUAAAUUAAAAGCCUCCACUCUAUUUCAUGUCUGAAAAUGGGUCAAUGUUCACAUAGCUACAUGUCCUUCCUCAUAGGGGGAUAAUAGCCAGGAAGAAAAUAUUUGAACAUGGAAGACUGAAGCUGCUACAGGACAGUGCUGACUAAACUUUGAUUUGCAUUUGCACCCCUGGAGGAUCUUGUGUCAAGACAGAUUCAGAUUCAAAAGGUUUGGGUUAGGUCCCAAUAUUUUUUUCUAACAAGAUGAUGCCAGGCUGCUGUUCUGUGAAUGCCAAGAGUUUAGAGCCCUUCCUUAGGCAACUCCUGUCCCCUCUGUGCAGUCAGCAAAAGGAGAGCACUUCCUGGUCAGAGGCUUAAAAAAAAAAAAAACAGGAAAUACACAGCAUGUAUUUGGAUGAGACUAGAAACAAAACGAACAAGUUAACGAAGAAAUACGUUCAUCAAAACCUGACAUUAUUACUAACAUUGAGAUGGAAUGGAGUCAAAGGUGGGCUACCCAGGUAUUCAGUGUUUAAGUGCAGCUGCUUUUGAAAUUUAAUUUUAAGUUGUAACAAGAAUCACUGUAUCUAGUUAUAUCCUUCCCUAGAGAGGAAAGUUCAAGUUUCCAUAAAGGAGGAACUAAAGCUCUCAGAAUUACUGAGUUGUACAGUGCUAAUUUAUAUGAAUCUUCACCUUCCUCCAUAAGUUUCUAAUGAUUAUGGUUUCUGGAGAAUAAUAUAUCACUUUUUUAAUGCAUAUUCUUAAUCUACAAAACAAAAAACUUCCAAAAAUUUAAACUAGAAAAACAUUUUAGAAUGUUUUAGAACACUCAGGAUGUUCUGUCAUAGGGAGAGAAUGAAGUGUCAUGUGUGUAUAUGUGUAUGAUUAUUCUGUGUUAUUAUAAACUUCCAGAGCAUAGCAUGCAUUUUCAGAGACGUUGUCUUAGCAUUUAAACUGCAAGGCCCUUUUGUAGAAGCCCUCUUCUUGCUCACCAGCAAGCCCUAUAGAUAGGUAACUCUGGCAAUCUUAUAUGUGAUUUAUUAAUAUGUCAUGUUCUUGACCAAGUAAACCUGAUUUUGCUAAUUACUUAUCAGUUCUUUUACCUUGUAUUUCUUUAAGAGCAGCAUUGCUUGUUUUACCAAAUAUAUAUUGUCCAACUUGCAGAAAAUACUAAUGAUAUUACAGAUAACAAAAUGAGAUUAUGUGUGCAGAUCCCUGCAUCCUGGUGGGCACUAUCUUGUUUAGUAAGUUUUUCCUUCUGCUGUUGCCACUGCCAAACAGACUGCUUAUGAAAUCUUUGGCUUUCUUAACGACUCUUCAGGGAUCACUAAAAUGUUUCUUUUUUCCUGGAUGCCAACUUCAUCUCCUUUUAAGAAUAUAGUAUUAGUUUAAAGGGAUACUCAAUUUAAAGCAAACUUGUAGAUUCAGUCACUCAUGAUUGAUAUUAGGCAAGCAGAAAAAAAAUAGGUUGAUUUUUAUCCUCUACCUUUUAUCCUCCAACUUUUUUAUCUUUGAUGGUGAAGGUGGCUACUUUUUUUAAACCACAGCCUGGUAUGUAUUGUUUGAAAACUUGUUUGAAAGUUGUCUUAACCUAUGUCGUUCUUCUGUUUUUAUCUGUAGAAAUGAGAAAACAUAUAUGUCAGCUACUUGUUUCUUUUAAGUACUCAAAUUAAUAUUUUUCUUGAAAUAAAUAAUAAUUACAGUUUUAAGUUGUCAUAUUAAUAUUUUACAUGAAGUAAGCUCAAUAUGUAUACACAGCAUAGCAGUAAAGACAUCUCAAAUAAUAAGUAAUUCGUGAAACUAAGUUUGAAAUUUAAGCACUGCUAAUAUGUCUACAUAUUUGUAUUUCUUUUCUUGGACUUGGUCUGUUUAAAAUAAUAGUUAUGGCCUAUUGUGUUAUUUGUUAUUCUGUCAUUUAAAAUGUAAAUUAUGCUGUCUUGAAUUAUUUGUGUAAAGCUGAGUUUAUAGGUAAGUUUAUAGUACCAAUAAACAACCAGUGAUUACAUUUUUAC
ensembl:lncRNA